rnacentral:rRNA from 1 species
GACGAACCGUACAAACGUUAUUCGGAAUCACUGGGCUUAAAGGGUGCGUAGGCGGCGCAGAAAGUUGGGUGUGAAAUCCCUCGGCUCAACCGAGGAAUUGCGCCCAAAACUACUGUGCUCGAGGGAGGUAGAGGUGAGCGGAACUUAGGGUGGAGCGGUGAAAUGCGUUGAUAUCCUAAGGAACACCGGUGGCGAAAGCGGCUCACUGGACCUCUUCUGACGCUGAGGCACGAAAGCUAGGGGAGCAAACGGGAUUAGAUACCCCGGUAGUCCUAGCCGUAAACGAUGAGCACUGGAUUGGAGGGCCCUCCAUAGCCUUCCAGUCGCAGCGAAAGUGCUAAGUGCUCCGCCUGGGGAGUAUGGUCGCAAGGCUGAA